rnacentral:tRNA from 1 species
GCCGGGGUGGUGGAAUUGGCAGACACGCUUGGUUGAGGGCCAAGUGCUUCACGGCAUGCAGGUUCAAAUCCUGUCCCCGGCA